GGAAUAUUGCACAAUGGGCGAAAGCCUGAUGCAGCCAUGCCGCGUGUAUGAAGAAGGCCUUCGGGUUGUAAAGUACUUUCAGUUGUGAGGAAGGGGGUGUUGUUAAUAGCAACAUCUCUUGACGUUAGCAACAGAAGAAGCACCGGCUAACUCCGUGCCAGCAGCCGCGGUAAUACGGAGGGUGCGAGCGUUAAUCGGAAUUACUGGGCGU
rnacentral:rRNA from 1 species